GAUGAACGCUGGCGGCGUGCUUAACACAUGCAAGUCGAACGGAACUCUUUGGAUCGAGACUUCGGUCAAGUGAAUUUGAGUUUAGUGGCGGACGGGUGAGUAACGCGUGAGGAACCUGCCUUGGAGUGGGGAAUAACAGUUGGAAACGACUGCUAAUACCGCAUGAUGCGAUUGUCUCGCAUGGGACUGAUCGCCAAAGAUUUAUCGCUCUGAGAUGGCCUCGCGUCUGAUUAGCUAGUUGGUGGGGUAACGGCCCACCAAGGCGACGAUCAGUAGCCGGACUGAGAGGUUGGCCGGCCACAUUGGGACUGAGACACGGCCCAGACUCCUACGGGAGGCAGCAGUGGGGAAUAUUGGGCAAUGGGCGCAAGCCUGACCCAGCAACGCCGCGUGAAGGAAGAAGGCUUUCGGGUUGUAAACUUCUUUUAUCAGGGACGAUAAUGACGGUACCUGAUGAAUAAGCU
rnacentral:rRNA from 1 species